rnacentral:rRNA from 1 species
UGCGAUCGGACCGGACCAAAGUCCUUCGGGACGGCGGAUCGGUUACGGAGCGGCGGACGGGUGAGUAACGCGUAGCUAACCUACCUUCGGGCGGGAGAUAGCACCGGGAAACCGGUGUUAAUAUCCCAUAACAUGGGAGAACUCAAGUUCUCUCAUCAAAGUCGCUUCGGCUACACCUGAAGAUGGGGCUGCGUCCUAUUAGCUAGACGGUGAGGUAAAGGCUCACCGUGGCCAAGAUAGGUAGGGGGCCUGAGAGGGCGAUCCCCCUCACUGGGACUGAGACACGGUCCAGACUCCUACGGGAGGCUGCAGUGGGGAAUCUUGCGCAAUGGUCGAAAGGCUGACGCAGCGACGCCGCGUGGAGGACGAAGGCCUUCGGGUUGUAAACUCCUUUUCUGGGGGACGAAUAAGGUGAGUAGGUAAUGGCUCACCGAUGACGGUACCCCAGGAACAAGCGCCGGCUAACUUCGUGCCAGCAGCCGCGGUAAGACGAAGGGCGCAAGCGUUAUCCGGAAUCACUGGGCGUAAAGGGCGUCUAGGUGGUCGGUCAAGUCGACCGUGAAAGUCCUCGGCUAAACUGAGGAAAGUCGGCCGAAACUGAUCGACUCGAGGAACGUAGAGGGAAGCGGAACUCUCGGAGUAGCGGUGAAAUGCGUAGAGACCGAGAGGUACCCCGAUGGUGAAGACAGCUUCCUGGGCGUUUCCUGACGCUGAAGCGCUAAGGCCAGGGGAGCGAAGGGGAUUAGAUACCCCCGUAGUCCUGGCUUCAACGAUGUGGGCUUGGUGUCGGCUCCCGACAGAGAGUCGUUGCCGGAGCUAACGUGUAAGCCACCGCCUGGGGAUACGUCCGCAAGGAUGAACUCAAGGGAAUUGACGGGGCCACCACCGGGGAGCACGUGGUUUAUUCGAUGAUAGCGAAGACCUACAGGCUGACUACGUAGUAGACCUGAAGGGACGACCUCAGCUUUCU